rnacentral:rRNA from 1 species
UACGGAGGGGGCAAGCGUUGUUCGGAUUGACUGGGCGUAAAGCGCACGCAGGCGGACGCGCGCGUGGGGUGUGAAAUCUGGCCGCUUAACGGCCAGGCGCCAUCCCAUACGGCGCGUCUGGAGUGAUGCAGAGGUCGAUGGAAUUGCCGGUGUAGUGGUGAAAUGCGUAGAGAUCGGCAGGAACACCCAGGGGGAAACCAGUCGACUGGGCAUCUACUGACGCUGAGGUGCGAGAGCGUGGGGAGCGAACCGG